UGCAGUCGACGAUGACCAGGAGCUUGCUCUUGGGGAUUAGUGGCGAACGGGUGAGUAACACGUGAGUAACCUGCCCUUGACUCUGGGAUAAGCGUUGGAAACGACGUCUAAUACCGGAUACGAGCUUCCACCGCAUGGUGAGUUGCUGGAAAGAAUUUUGGUCAAGGAUGGACUCGCGGCCUAUCAGCUUGUUGGUGAGGUAAUGGCUCACCAAGGCGACGACGGGUAGCCGGCCUGAGAGGGUGACCGGCCACACUGGGACUGAGACACGGCCCAGACUCCUACGGGAGGCAGCAGUGGGGAAUAUUGCACAAUGGGCGAAAGCCUGAUGCAGCAACGCCGCGUGAGGGACGACGGCCUUCGGGUUGUAAACCUCUUUUAGCAGGGAAGAAGCGAAAGUGACGGUACCUGCAGAAAAAGCACCGGCUAACUACGUGCCAGCAGCCGCGGUAAUACGUAGGGUGCAAGCGUUGUCCGGAAUUAUUGGGCGUAAAGAGCUCGUAGGCGGUUUGUCGCGUCUGCUGUGAAAUCCCGAGGCUCAACCUCGGGUCUGCAGUGGGUACGGGCAGACUAGAGUGCGGUAGGGGAGAUUGGAAUUCCUGGUGUAGCGGUGGAAUGCGCAGAUAUCAGGAGGAACACCGAUGGCGAAGGCAGAUCUCUGGGCCGCUACUGACGCUGAGGAGCGAAAGGGUGGGGAGCAAACAGGCUUAGAUACCCUGGUAGUCCACCCCGUAAACGUUGGGCGCUAGAUGUGGGGACCAUUCCACGGUUUCCGUGUCGUAGCUAACGCAUUAAGCGCCCCGCCUGGGGAGUACGGCCGCAAGGCUAAAACUCAAAGGAAUUGACGGGGGCCCGCACAAGCGGCGGAGCAUGCGGAUUAAUUCGAUGCAACGCGAAGAACCUUACCAAGGCUUGACAUAUACGAGAACGGGCCAGAAAUGGUCAACUCUUUGGACACUCGUAAACAGGUGGUGCAUGGUUGUCGUCAGCUCGUGUCGUGAGAUGUUGGGUUAAGUCCCGCAACGAGCGCAACCCUCGUUCUAUGUUGCCAGCACGUAAUGGUGGGAACUCAUGGGAUACUGCCGGGGUCAACUCGGAGGAAGGUGGGGACGACGUCAAAUCAUCAUGCCCCUUAUGUCUUGGGCUUCACGCAUGCUACAAUGGCCAGUACAAAGGGCUGCAAUACCGUAAGGUGGAGCGAAUCCCAAAAAGCUGGUCCCAGUUCGGAUUGAGGUCUGCAACUCGACCUCAUGAAGUCGGAGUCGCUAGUAAUCGCAGAUCAGCAACGCUGCGGUGAAUACGUUCCCGGGCCUUGUACACACCGCCCGUCAAGUCAUGAAAGUCGGUAACACCCGAAGCCAGUGGCCUAACCGUAAGGAAGGAGC
rnacentral:rRNA from 1 species